GUUAAAGGCACCUACCACCAAACCAGAUGACCACACAGGAACCACACAGUGGAAGGUGAGAACUAAUUCUCACCAAGUUGUCCUUUGGCCUUCAUAGUUACACCGUGACUCACAGGUUUACCCACAGCUGCUGAUGAGUUCCCAGUAGGAUCCAUUUCUGGUUGCAAGGGCCUGGUACAAGAAGAAAAAAAAAAAAACAAACAAGCAAACGAAAAACAGGCAAAUCUCCACCAGAAGCCUAAGAAUUGUCUCAUCAACCAAAACAGAUGGACAGCACAGGGGACAGCGAGAGUGGACCUUAGGAGUCAAGGUCCACUGGAGGCCUCUCUUGCCUGGAGUGAAAGGUGCCGCUGGCUGGAAAGAUGCCCCUCUCCCAGAGGCCAGACUAGACUUCAGCAGCUUCCGAGUUCCCAGGCUCUGGAAGUGGAUCUCAGCCCACUCCCUCCAUCACAGUCAUUUGUGAGCUGAUCCUCAACUAGGGGCUGAGUGCCCUUCCCAAGGGAGCCUGGAGAGGCUCUGGUUAGUCCUGCCCUUCCCAAGGUCACCCUGGGCAGCAAGCCAAAGAAACAAUUUAUGGAAGAAGCAGGAGCAUAAUAUAAAUUAUUUUUUAACUAACCCUCAGUUAUCUGAUCACCCUGGGUCUCUGCUCAAGAUAAAAAUCCCAAGAGUUAAACACACUUCAAGAAGAGGUAGCUUCGCUUCUUCUCAGGGACGCAGCCAGAGGCAGGGCGGAACACCCAUAAAACUUGCCCUCCUCUGCUGAAUGACCUAUGAAAUGAAAAGGGGGGAGCUGGGGAUGUACUCAGUGGUAGAGCGCUUGCCCGGCAUGUGGCAGCGCCUGGGUUUGAUCUCCAGGGAAGGGACAGGUCAAGAGGUGAGGAUAAGAAGAACAAAGUACUUAAAGUUAAAAAGGAAUUAAAAAAAAAAAAGAUACUGUCCUGGUUUUCUUUCUAAGAAAUGAACGGGUCACCGGAACUCCUGACUCAUUUGUUUGAACAGUUAAGGGACUGGGAGUGGGGAUGUCAUUUAACCCUGCUUGGGACAGAGAGAUGUCAGGAUAAAUUUGCCAGGGGAAACACAGCAAAUUCCAAAGGCAAGGCUAAAACCAUGUGCCUUCAACUUAGACCUGUUUCCAGAAAGAUUUGCUCCUCCAUGCCCUAGCGAGAACGAUGAAAUCCCAAUAAACGGGGAACUUUGUUAAUAACUAGGAUCAAUGUGGUGUUUCUACAACGCUAUCCUGCCGGAGCCUAGCGAGUCUUCUGGGAGAGUAGCAACAUGUCCUUGAAGAGACAUUUCUGUAGUAAAUUGCUCUCUUGGU